rnacentral:rRNA from 1 species
UACGGGGGGGGCAAGCGUUGUUCGGAAUUACUGGGCGUAAAGAGCGCGUAGGCGGGUGUGCAAGUCAGUGGUGAAAGCCCGGGGCUCAACCGUGGAAUUGCCUGUGAUACUGCAAGUCUUGAAUCUGAGAGAGGAGAGCGGAAUUCCUAGUGUAGGGGUGAAAUUCGUAGAUAUUAGGAGGAACACCGGUGGCGAAGGCGGCUAUCUGGAUCGGUAAUGACGCUGAGGCGCGAAAGCUUGGGGAGCAAACGGG